AACGAACGCUGGCGGCAUGCCUAACACAUGCAAGUCGAACGAGACCUUCGGGUCUAGUUGCGCACGGGUGCGUAACGCGUGGGAACCUGCCCUUAGGUUCGGAAUAACUCCCCGAAAGGGGUGCUAAUACCGGAUAACGUCCUCGGACCAAAGAUUUAUCGCCUUUGGAUGGGCCCGCGUUGGAUUAGCUAGUUGGUAGGGUAAAAGCCUACCAAGGCGACGAUCCAUAGCUGGUCUGAGAGGAUGAGCAGCCACACUGGGGCUGAGACACGGCCCAGACUCCUACGGGAGGCAGCAGUGGGGAAUAUUGGACAAUGGGCGAAAGCCUGAACCAGCAAUGCCGCGUGAGUGAUGAAGGCCUUAGGGUUGUAAAGCUCUUUUACCCGGGAUGAUAAUGACAGUACCGGGAGAAUAAGCUCCGGCUAACUCCGUG
rnacentral:rRNA from 1 species